UACGUAGGGCGCAAGCGUUGUCCGGAAUUAUUGGGCGUAAAGAGCUCGUAGGCGGCCUGUUGCGUCCGCUGUGAAAUCCCGGGGCUCAACCCCGGGCCUGCAGUGGAUACGGGCUGGCUAGAGGCAGGCAGGGGAGAACGGAAUUCUUGGUGUAGCGGUGAAAUGCGUAGAUAUCAAGAGGAACACCUGCGGCGAAGGCGGGUUGCUGGGCCGACACUGACGCUGAUGCGCGAAAGCCAGGGGAGCGAACGGG
rnacentral:rRNA from 1 species